CUAGGAGAACCGAAAACAGUUCUAGACUGACCUGCGGUUUUAUAGCACUUUGGCAGUCAACUUCAGCUUGUGUCAGAGCAGACAUGACAGAGCUGCCCAGCGCUUAAUCGCAGGACACCACUUCCUCGGACGCGCCGCAGCCCCCCUCUUGCAUUUCAAUAAAUUUCAGACCUUGGGGCUAGAAACGGGGAGCAGAGCCGGCACAG
rfam:Tauraco erythrolophus contig14715, whole genome shotgun sequence.